AACGAACGCUGGCGGCACGCCUAACACAUGCAAGUCGAGCGCUCACUUCGGUGGGAGCGGCGGACGGGUUAGUAACGCGUGGGAACAUACCCAACACUACGGAAUAGCCUCGGGAAACUGAGAGUAAUACCGUAUACGCCCUUAGGGGGAAAGAUUUAUCGGUGAUGGAUUGGCCCGCGUUAGAUUAGAUAGUUGGUGGGGUAAUGGCCUACCAAGUCUACGAUCUAUAGCUGGUUUGAGAGGAUGAUCAGCAACACUGGGACUGAGACACGGCCCAGACUCCUACGGGAGGCAGCAGUGGGGAAUCUUAGACAAUGGGCGAAAGCCUGAUCUAGCGAUGCCGCGUGAGUGACGAAGGCCUUAGGGUCGUAAAGCUCUUUCGCCAGGGAUGAUAAUGACAGUACCUGGUAAAGAAACCCCGGCUAACUCCGUGCCAGCAGCCGCGGUAAUACGGAGGGGGUUAGCGUUGUUCGGAAUUACUGGGCGUAAAGCGUACGUAGGCGGAUUGGAAAGUAGGGGGUGAAAUCCCAGGGCUCAACCCUGGAACUGCCUCCUAAACUAUCAGUCUAGAGUUCGAGAGAGGUGAGUGGAAUUCCAAGUGUAGAGGUGAAAUUCGUAGAUAUUUGGAGGAACACCAGUGGCGAAGGCGGCUCACUGGCUCGAUACUGA
rnacentral:rRNA from 1 species